UUUGUUUUGCGUGCCUGACAACUUCGAUGUAUAAUUAGUUUGUUUAUGUUCUACGUGGCUUAUGUGCAACUUAAGAGAAUUGAUACUUGACGAGCUUGGCUUAUUCCAAAUAGAAUGGAGAUAACAAUUGCUAACAGAAACAAAUGCUCAGUUACUACAACCAAUCAAGAUCGAUAUGCACCCACUAGUUAGUUGCAGUGAGCUCAAGAUAUUAGGAAUAACUCAUUAGGAAGUAAAAAGGUCUAUUGUCAAGGACUGGAGCCUGGGCAUGAUAUAUGAUUGAUUUCACAAGAGCCCAAGGGUGCUUGAAGCUUACUUACUUGAGACUAUAUAACUAUUAUCCAACAACUACUCAAAGAAUACACAAAGUUGAUGUGACGUCGGCAUACAUGUCAAAAAGGUAGAACUGGGAGAGAAAAUUGCAUGAAAGAUGUUUGUAAGAAUAAGCUGAUUCUUGACUUUAAAAAAUUUAAUGUAAAAGUCCUUUUUAUUUAUAAAAUACUCACCGUCCAAGUUGUUUCCCAGUGAUGAAGGAGUAAUGUGAGUUUGGGUAGCUGGUAUUUAGGCUAAAAGCUAUUUAAAAUCCUUUGUAAAGAUUGUUUCAUUUGAAUGUUUUCAAAUAAAUUGAUCUUGGUAU